rnacentral:rRNA from 1 species
GGGAAGGUGAAAAGCACCCCGAUGAGGGGAGUGAAACAGUACCUGAAACGGAUUGCCUACAAGCAGUUGGAGGGUCCUUGAGGCCUGACAGCGUACCUCUUGCAUAAUGGGUCUGUGACUUAAUGUAUCAAGCAAGCUUAAGCCGUUAGGUGUAGGCGCAGCGAAAGCGAGUCUGAAUAGGGCGAUUUAGUUUGAUGCAUUAGACCCGAAACCCGGCGAUCUAGGCAUGACCAGGAUGAAGGUGGGGUAACACCCACUGGAGGUCCGAACCGA